GAUGAACGCUGGCGGCGUGCCUAAUACAUGCAAGUCGAGCGAACAGAUAAGGAGCUUGCUCCUUUGACGUUAGCGGCGGACGGGUGAGUAACACGUGGAUAACCUACCUAUAAGACUGGGAUAACUUCGGGAAACCGGAGCUAAUACCGGAUAACAUAUUGAACCGCAUGGUUCAAUAGCGAAAGGCGGCUUUGCUGUCACUUAUAGAUGGAUCCGCGCCGUAUUAGCUAGUUGGUAAGGUAACGGCUUACCAAGGCAACGAUACGUAGCCGACCUGAGAGGGUGAUCGGCCACACUGGAACUGAGACACGGUCCAGACUCCUACGGGAGGCAGCAGUAGGGAAUCUUCCGCAAUGGGCGAAAGCCUGACGGAGCAACGCCGCGUGAGUGAUGAAGGUCUUCGGAUCGUAAAACUCUGUUAUCAGGGAAGAACAAAUGUGUAAGUAACUGUGCACAUCUUGACGGUACCUGAUCAGAAAGCCACGGCUAACUACGUG
rnacentral:rRNA from 1 species